CCUAGGAAAUUGCCCUGAUGUGGGGGAUAACCAUUGGAAACGAUGGCUAAUACCGCAUGAUGCCUACGGGCCAAAGAGGGGGACCUUCGGGCCUCUCGCGUCAGGAUAUGCCUAGGUGGGAUUAGCUAGUUGGUGAGGUAAGGGCUCACCAAGGCGACGAUCCCUAGCUGGUCUGAGAGGAUGAUCAGCCACACUGGAACUGAGACACGGUCCAGACUCCUACGGGAGGCAGCAGUGGGGAAUAUUGCACAAUGGGCGCAAGCCUGAUGCAGCCAUGCCGCGUGUGUGAAGAAGGCCUUCGGGUUGUAAAGCACUUUCAGUCGUGAGGAAGGUAGUGUAGUUAAUAGCUGCAUUAUUUGACGUUAGCGACAGAAGAAGCACCGGCUAACUCCGUGCCAGCAGCCGCGGUAAUACGGAGGGUGCGAGCGUUAAUCGGAAUUACUGGGCGUAAAGCGCAUGCAGGUGGUUUGUUAAGUCAGAUGUGAAAGCCCGGGGCUCAACCUCGGAAUUGCAUUUGAAACUGGCAGACUAGAGUACUGUAGAGGGGGGUAGAAUUUCAGGUGUAGCGGUGAAAUGCGUAGAGAUCUGAAGGAAUACCGGUGGCGAAGGCGGCCCCCUGGACAGAUACUGACACUCAGAUGCGAAAGCGUGGGGAGCAAACAGGAUUAGAUACCCUGGUAGUCCACGCCGUAAACGAUGUCUACUUGGAGGUUGUGGCCUUGAGCCGUGGCUUUCGGAGCUAACGCGUUAAGUAGACCGCCUGGGGAGUACGGUCGCAAGAUUAAAACUCAAAUGAAUUGACGGGGGCCCGCACAAGCGGUGGAGCAUGUGGUUUAAUUCGAUGCAACGCGAAGAACCUUACCUACUCUUGACAUCCAGAGAACUUUCCAGAGAUGGAUUGGUGCCUUCGGGAACUCUGAGACAGGUGCUGCAUGGCUGUCGUCAGCUCGUGUUGUGAAAUGUUGGGUUAAGUCCCGCAACGAGCGCAACCCUUAUCCUUGUUUGCCAGCGAGUAAUGUCGGGAACUCCAGGGAGACUGCCGGUGAUAAACCGGAGGAAGGUGGGGACGACGUCAAGUCAUCAUGGCCCUUACGAGUAGGGCUACACACGUGCUACAAUGGCGCAUACAGAGGGCGGCCAACUUGCGAAAGUGAGCGAAUCCCAAAAAGUGCGUCGUAGUCCGGAUUGGAGUCUGCAACUCGACUCCAUGAAGUCGGAAUCGCUAGUAAUCGUGGAUCAGAAUGCCACGGUGAAUACGUUCCCGGGCCUUGUACACACCGCCCGUCACACCAUGGGAGUGGGCUGCAAAAGAAGUAGGUAGUUUAACCUUCGGGGGGACGCUUACCACUUUGUGGUUCAUGACUGGGGUGAAGUCGUAACAAGGUAGCGCUAGGGGAACCUGGCGCUGGAUCACCUCCUUAAACGAUGAU
rnacentral:rRNA from 1 species